UAUUGGCCAAUGGGGGAAACCCUGAUCCAGCAAUGCCGCGUGAGUGAUGAAGCCCCCCCGCCGCCCUAAAGCUUUUUUUUUAGGGACGAUGAUGACGGUACCUAAUGAAUAAGCUCCGGCUAACUUCGUGCCAGCAGCCCCGGUAAUACGAGGGGAGCCAGCGUUGUUCGGAAUUACUGGGCGUAAAGGGCGCGUAGGCGGUACUAUAAGUCAGAUGUGAAAGCCCUGGGCUUAACCUAGGAUGUGCAUUUGAUACUGUAGAACUAGAGAUCGAGAGAGGAAAGUGGAAUUAUGAGUGUAGAGGUGAAAUUCGUAGAUAUUCAUAAGAACACCAGGGCGAAGGCGACUUUCGGCUCGAUACGACGCUAAGGCGCGAAA
rnacentral:rRNA from 1 species